CCUACGGGGGGCUGCAGUGGGGAAUAUUGGACAAUGGGGGCAACCCUGAUCCAGCCAUGCCGCGUGUGUGAAGAAGGCCCUCGGGUUGUAAAGCACUUUCAGUGAGGAAGAACGCCUGGUGGUUAAUACCCAUCAGGAAAGACAUCACUCACAGAAGAAGCACCGGCUAACUCCGUGCCAGCAGCCGCGGUAAUACGGAGGAUGCGAGCGUUAAUCGGAAUUACUGGGCGUAAAGCGCGCGUAGGUGGCUUGAUAAGCCGGUUGUGAAAGCCCCGGGCUCAACCUGGGAACGGCAUCCGGAACUGUCAAGCUAGAGUGCAGGAGAGGAAGGUAGAAUUCCCGGUGUAGCGGUGAAAUGCGUAGAGAUCGGGAGGAAUACCAGUGGCGAAGGCGGCCUUCUGGACUGACACUGACACUGAGGUGCGAAAGCGUGGGUAGCAAACAGGAUUAGAUACCCUUGUAGUC
rnacentral:rRNA from 1 species